rnacentral:rRNA from 1 species
UGGGGCAGUUUACAGCCCGGAGCAUGCCCAAUCUCAUCUGAUCUUGAAAUCCAAGCAGAGUCAGGCCUGGUUAGUGCUUGGAUUUUGGACCACCGGAGAAUAUCAGAUGUUGCUUGGG